rnacentral:rRNA from 1 species
UACGUAGGGGGCAAGCGUUGUCCGGAUUUAUUGGGCGUAAAGAGCGUGUAGGCGGCCACACAGGUCUGCUGUGAAAACUCGAGGCUCAACCUCGAGCUGUCGGUGGAAACCGUGUGGCUAGAGUCCGGAAGAGGAGAGUGGAAUUCCUGGUGUAGCGGUGAAAUGCGCAGAUAUCAGGAAGAACACCCGUGGCGAAGGCGGCUCUCUGGGACGGUACUGACGCUGAGACGCGAAAGCGUGGGGAGCGAACGGG